rnacentral:rRNA from 1 species
AUACGGAAGGUCCGGGCGUUAUCCGGAUUUAUUGGGUUUAAAGGGAGCGCAGGCGGAGAUGCAAGCGUGACGUCAAAUUUCGGGGCUCAACCCCGUCUCGCGUCGCGAACUGCGUCCCUUGGUUGCGGGAAGGGGAGGCGGAACUCGUGGUGUAGCAGUGAAAUGCAUAGAUAUCACGAAGAACUCCGAUCGCGAAGGCAGCCUUCCGGCCCGUCAACGACGCUCAUGCUCGAAGGUGCGGGUAUCAAACAGGAUUAGAUACCCUGGUAGUCCGCACAGUAAACGAUGGACACCCGCGGUUUGGCCUGUAUGGCUGAGCCGCCAAGCGAAAGCGUUAAGUGUCCCACCUGGGGAGUACGCCGGCAACGGUGAAACUCAAAGGAAUUGACGGGG